CCAUUGGAGGGGUUGUGAUGUG
rnacentral:miRNA from 9 species